GAUGAACGCUAGCGGCAGGCUUUACACAUGCAAGUCGAACGGUAACGCGGGGCAACCUGGCGACGAGUGGCGAACGGGUGAGUAAUGCAUCGGAACGUGCCCGGUAGUGGGGGAUAACUGCUCGAAAGAGCAGCUAAUACCGCAUACGACCUGAGGGUGAAAGGGGGGGAUCGCAAGACCUCUCGCUAUUGGAGCGGCCGAUGUCGGAUUAGCUAGUUGGUGGGGUAAGGGCCCACCAAGGCGACGAUCCGUAGCUGGUCUGAGAGGACGACCAGCCGCACUGGGACUGAGACACGGCCCAGACUCCUACGGGAGGCAGCAGUGGGGAAUUUUGGACAAUGGACGCAAGUCUGAUCCAGCCAUGCCGCGUGCGGGAAGAAGGCCUUCGGGUUGUAAACCGCUUUUGUCAGAGAAGAAAUCUUCUGGGUUAAUACCUCGGGAGGAUGACGGUAUCUGAAGAAUAAGCACCGGCUAACUACGUGCCAGCCGCCGCGGUAACAC
rnacentral:rRNA from 1 species